GAAUGGCUCACAGAGGUUGCAUGCACCUUCUGUGCAAGGGAGGGGAGUGUUAAAGCACAUGAAACUGUUUUGUUUGGGGAUUGGUGGAGGAGUGGCCUGUAUGUAGUUUGGUCGCCUGAGAUAGUACAGGUAGUGCAUUCUAACAGAUGUCCUUCAGUGCCACUCUGUCCAGACCAGAGGACCAAAGACUGCUGUAGCAGGAGGAUCUCCAAUGAAGAAAGCAAAGGACAGAAACACAAAGAAAACUCUUAAAGAAGCUGUAAAGUUCUGGUGGAGGCAGACUCCUGCCAUACCUAAGUUUUACAGAGCUGUUAAGUCCCUGCAGGCAUCUGAGCUAUUUGGACCUGGAGCCUCUUCCCCUCAGAUGAAUAAACUCACUUUGGAUUAAACAGUUUAGAGUCACAGAAGAGAAUCUCUGAAGUGAGUUACAAACACCUCUUCAGUGUCCCUUCAUUCAUCUGGCUACCAGGAUGUCAGCAGCCUCCUCAGAGAUGAUCUGCAAGCUUUGAAGUCUAUAAUUACUGUUUUUAAAUACAGGUAUAUAAUGUUACAAGAAUCUGAAAGGCUGCUUUGCGUGUUACUUUAUUAAUUUCAGGGUGAAUUUGCCUACCUUGUGAGUAGAAUACAUUUUUUCCCUAUCUGCUAGUGAUGAAAAUCGCAGAUCUGAAAUGCAAAUGGAUGUUUUUUCUACCUUAGUAAUAAAGGUCACUACUUUGCAGUCAGUACUUGCAUAGAUAAUUAACUCUCCUUGGUGUGACAUGAUACAUGAAACAGAAGAUGAUAGUCCACACUCUGGCUUUUCUGGAGAAAAUGUUUCUUUUAUUCAUAAGGCCAAGAGAUGAAAUACGUGUAAGAAAUGUGUUGGCAGAACUGCGUGUUGCUAUUUUUACAUAAACACUUUCAGUGAAUCAGGUUUUUAGAUUGCAGAGAAUUCAUGGAUGUAUGUACAGGUUAGAAAGACAAAUAAAUACAUUUAAAACAUG